rnacentral:pre_miRNA from 1 species
CUUUGGUGAUUUAGCUGUAUGAGUUUUACUAGACUUACAUCAUAAAGCUAGGUUACCAGAGCU